rnacentral:lncRNA from 1 species
ACUUCUCGAUAUUCCCCCCACUUCUCGAGAUUCCCCCCACUUCUCGAGAUUCACCCCACUUCUCGAGAUUCCCCUCAAUUCUCGAUAUUCCCCCCACUUCCCGAUAUUCCCUCCACUUCUCGAUAUUCCCCCCACUUCUCGAUGUUUCCAGGCUCUUGGCACGGCUCGGUGGAAAGAUCCCCCUUUUCCUCCCACAGCGGCUCCGGAAUGUGUGCGGAAUUUGAAGCUGGGCCGAGAGCUUGGGGCGAGCCCACCGAAAGGCAGGGAAGAGCGUGCAGAGCGGCACGGAGCUCUGGCAUCCCCGCAGUGCAGCGAGCGCAUCUCGCCCUUGGCGGGAUCAGGAGGCGCAGGAACCGCGCAGGUUACGGGAUGAGUGUGCCAGGCGAUAUGGAGCGAGCAGCAGCGGCACACCAGCGCUUGUCUGCUGUGCUGUCUGCGCUCUUUAAUAGAAAUUGCCCUUUCUGGGGGUUUUAUUAAGAAGAUUUUUGUCUUCUUUCUAUUAUCUCUGUAAGCACCAGAGUGAAGCAUUCGUGUCUGCCGGCCAGUCUGGCAGUUUUAUGUUUCCAGAAUCUGCUGGGAAAAAGUCGGAACCCGCAGAAACACAAGAUUCCCCUGGCAUCACGUUGGUUUGUUCCUGUCAGCAUAUUUAAUCAUUUUUAUGCUAAAGAAUUGUGCAGUGAGCUGAUCUUAGCAAUGAUUUACUCUGCUUGAGGCUUUAUUGAUUUUUUUUCUUUAGCAAGGACAUAAGGAAAGGAGUGAAGGAAGGAUGACACGGUUUGUAAAGAAAAAAAUUCAGUGUACGUUUGAAGUGUAGUCGCUGUUAAAUAUAUAGACAUAUACACGAUGCUUUAUGCAGCUAUAAAAACAAAAGGUCUCUUUGCCUCAGGAUAUUUCUCUUACAGCAACAGGUAGCAAAGGCUCCUCUGUCCCCUUCUCUCCCCUUAUCUCCUCCCCUUCAGCUCCUCCUGACAAAAUGCCAGUUUAAAAGGUCAGAGUGUUUAUGUAAAUAUUGUGCUUUUCUUAACAAAGACUGCUACGCGUCAAGCCUGCAAUGACUGUCAAAUAGACUCAAGACAUUCAGUGAGGGUACUGUGGGUUUCCUAAGACUGAUAAAAUCUGGCAGAAAACAAAG